CUGUUAUAGCGCAUGCGCAGCGUGAUCUCGGCGCUUGGGUGGUGAAUGUUUCCAGGAUGUCAGGACGAAGUUGGGUAUGUGGGCAAGCGCCACCCACUGGCCUGAACCGCCCAUGUCAGCGACUUUGGUGACAGGCCUUGGACAGGUUUUUCUUUACCCCGACGCCACCACUGAAGUGAAUCAGAGCUUUUCAAAGGCCACCCCAAGAUAAUGCCAUCACCGUCUGUAGCUCCUGAAUGGCCAGCAAUAUCACCCUAAGGAAGAAGCAUUUUGGAUCACAGUCCUGGAACAAAG
rnacentral:lncRNA from 1 species